AUCAGAUCAAUAGGAACAACCCAGGACAUUGUAGUUAACAUAACCACAUGCAUUGCUUUAGGUUAUUAUAAGAACGUCACGAAGUUUCCUCAGGACGAUAGCCAGAUGAAAAACGUUACAGAGAAUCGGCUAAAGGAGCUACAUAAACGUUGACGCUGUUUGCCGUCAGUUUCUACCAAGUGUCCACGUAUCACGUUCAGCCUUACCUGGAAACUAUUCGUCUCACCAUAAACCAGAGGAUAUGCCAGCAAAGAAGCAGGGGCCCAACAAAUUAAAAGACGAUUUAAGUCCAGCAUAUUGUAUAAUUGUUCACAAAGAAGAUUGGCCGUGUUGCUCGGGAAUUUAUCUAUAGAGGUACUAGCGCCCGAAUGUAUGCAAAAAAAAAAAAAAAAAAUAACGCAGAUUUUUCGUCCAGGAAUAUAUGCUGAUAAUGUCUUCAAAUAAUAUGACAAAAAUAACUGGCAAUUGCUUAGCAGCUGAGCGCGAACUUACAUAUAUAUAAAAGUCGAGGAUUAGGAGAGGACAUGGAAAUCGUUCGCGUUGAAAAAAAAAACGAAAGGGCCGCAAACAAGCUUGACUCAAAGUUCAGUGUUAAACAUCGUGUAAUGGCGUUUCAUC